rnacentral:ncRNA from 1 species
UGACCUCAGAUCAGGCAAGGCUACCCGCUGAAUUUAAGCAUAUUAAUAAGCGGAGGAAAAGAAACUAACAAGGAUUCCCCUAGUAAUGGCGAAUGAAGCGGGAACAGCUCAAAUUUAAAAUCUCCGUUGCUUGCAACGGCGAAAAGUAGUUUCGAGAAGCACUUUCUCGGCGGAUCCGAGGUCGAACAAGUUGCUGGAACAGCACGUCGUAGAGGGUGACAACCCCGUCUGCGGCGG